CCGCUGCUGGGGGACAGGGACGGGGAGGGGCAGCGGGUGGAUGAUGAGGUAUCUGUGCAGGCCCAGGGGCCACUGGCCUCAGGAUGCAGGGAGAGGUGGGCAGGCUGAGGGGAGGGGCGAGCUCCAGGAGGCUGCUCUAACUGCCCCGUGGGUCAGGCCUGCCAUCGCUGUCACAAUGGGAAUAGCAAAGCUGGCUCUCCCAGAGCCACGGGGUCUGGCGGAGGUGGCUGUGCUGGGGUGGGUACAGGGCUCAGCCUCUGAGGGUGGUGACCUGGUUUGUAACUGUCCCUUUACCCACACCAGGAGAGAGAAAUAAGGAAACAGUCCCCUGGGAGGUGUCCAGGACCAGGAGGGAACGGGAAGGGAAUUUUUAGGCAUCUAAGGAUUCUUUAUUUCCAGAGAAAAUCUAUUCAAGACCUUUGCUGACCUCCUCUGUGCCUGCAGGGCACUCCAGGAAAUCCUCAGCUCUGUCCCCUCCCCGCUGGCCCCCUCGCCGGCCCAGGCUGCAGGGGACGGGGAAGGGGAAGGACAGCCAAGUCCCUCCUUCCCCACCUCAGCCUGCCCUCCUGAGGUUCAGAGCGCAGUGGCAGGGAUUGGGGUGAGGGCACAGGAAGCUUGGCAGUGGCUGGGUUUGGUUUAUUGUUGGUAGAGAAUCAUUUUAAGUAGUAUCUACGGUAACGAAUCACAGUGACUGCAACCGGGUCAGAGAGCCCCAGGCUGGGGCCCCACCUGUCCGGGUGGGACUCCAGACCAGCCACUUCCUAUGAUCUGUCACCUGUGCUCAGAGCAAGGCCCCUUAUCACCCCAGUCCGCAGCUUUCUGGGCCAAGUGGCUUCAGUUCUGCUUUCCCCAUUUCCCCUCCAAAGGCCUGGGAAGAGAACAUGAGGCUCCGGAGGAAAGCCGGGGGCCUGGGCCACCUCACCAGACAGCAAUAGCAGCAGCAGCACACGAAGGCGGGGCAGGGCGGGGGAGAAGUCAGGGAGCGUGACGUCCACAUCGCACUGAUUUCCGAGGGUAGGGAGGGGAAGCAGGAGCGGCACUGGAGCUGGCACUGGGCCGGACAGGUG
rnacentral:antisense_RNA from 1 species